AUACGAAGGUCCCAAGCGUUAUUCGGAAUCACUGGGCGUAAAGAGUACGUAGGCGGUUUGGUAAGUCAGGUGUGAAAUCCCGAAGCUCAACUUCGGAACUGCAUCCGAUACUGCCAGACUUGAGUAAGGGAGAGGCAGGUGGAAUUCUCGGUGUAGCAGUGAAAUGCGUGGAUAUCGAGAGGAAGACCAAUGGCGAAGGCAGCCUGCUGGACAUUGACUGACGCUGAGGUACGAAGGCUAGGGGAGCGAAAGGGAUUAGAAACCCCGGUAGUCC
rnacentral:rRNA from 1 species